UGCAGAUUUUAGUGCCUUCUACCUCUGUUCUUGAUUCCUUGAAAUAUUUGAUCAGUUCUUCAUCACUUCAGAGUUUUUAGCGGUUACUUACCUCUGUUCUUGAUUGCUAAAAUGGACAACGUUGAAGAUUUUUAGAUGUGUCCACCUCGAGUUAAGUGUCCAUGAAGUCGUAUUUGAUUAGAGCUCUUAAUAGGUUGAUUAUGUACCAUCGGGUUUUUCUGCUUAAAUACUACGGGUUCCUAGAUGAAAAGGAGGAUACCAUCUUCGAAUUACUUGGCUCUAAGGCAUGGGAGUUCGAACCAUAUUUUACACCCAUAAAUGAAAAAGACGUACCAACCUCACUCUACAGAAGUAUCUUAAUGAGAUAGCUGAGACGGGCAAUUUCGGUGCCUUGAAUGGUGAAACAUACGAUUCGUACCAGAACUUGAUGAAAUUAAACUUGUUUGACAUCGUACAUACAUAUACUCUCUUCGCAAAUUCUCUUAUUGAGAAACAUAUCAAUUCACCACAAUAUGAGAUGCAAUUUCUAAAGGCACAAAGAAUGUAUGAAGAGCAUUUGCAAGAAGUCAAAGACCUCAUUGGAAUGACAAAUCUACAACUACCAUACGACAGGAAAGUCGUAGAAGAGACGAGAGAACGCUUAUACGUAUUGAAAAGUCGGGUUGCCGAGGCCACUAUACCAGAGCUUCAUAACAUGAGUUUAGAGCAAGAUUAGAUGAAAGUUGCAGCAGUUGUACGGGAGAAGGAUGAUCUAUGUAAAUUUUGGAAUCGAGACAUAAGAACCAAGACGGCACAACUAAAGAGCACAUCAAACGAUCUGUAUCUUUCACUAUUACUUAUGCAUGCACUUUCACUUAAGUCUACCAUUGACCUUAAGACUUGCAUUGAGGAAACCUACAAAAAUGUGGUAUGCGAUUGCAAGAAACUAAAGGAUGUCGAGGAGACACAACUAUAUGGUAUGUGUUUAUUUAAGGGUGUGAUGUGAAGAGACACAACUAUUAAGUUAGCCUAAGGUACCCCAAGUUACUUUUUAGAGGUUAUAUAAUUUAUUUGUAUAUAACCCUAUUUUAUAACAAUAAUAAUAACAUCUUACUAUUACUCAGAA